rnacentral:tmRNA from 1 species
GGGGUCGACUGGUUUUGACAGCGAGAUUAAUUAAAUGGUAAGCACGUCGUGUAACGACUAUGAGACACGUAAAACGCUAGGUCAACUUUUUAAACGGCGAGAAUAACUACGCUUUAGCUGCCUAAUCUGAAUUAUAGUAAGAUUACGCCUAGGCUUACAAGGUAAGCAAGCUAAAUGUCUCUGGAAAGCCUUGAUUGGCGGCGUUCCUUUUUGAGGCAUCGUAAAAGUCAAAAUAGAUUUGGUAGCGCUUUGAUGCCAAUUCGAAACUUUAAAAAGAUAAGCAGUAACUAGGUUGUCUUUAACCAGGUUGCUGAUGAAAACACAAGAAAAGACUAAACGUGUAGAAAGCUAUUUGGUUACUUGUUUGGACGAGAGUUCGAUUCUCUCCGACUCCACAA